AGAUUGAACGCUGGCGGCAGGCCUAACACAUGCAAGUCGAGCGGCAGCACGGGUACUUGUACCUGGUGGCGAGCGGCGGACGGGUGAGUAAUGCCUAGGAAUCUGCCUGGUAGUGGGGGAUAACGCUCGGAAACGGACGCUAAUACCGCAUACGUCCUACGGGAGAAAGCGGGGGACCUUCGGGCCUCGCGCCAUUAGAUGAGCCUAGGUCGGAUUAGCUAGUUGGUGAGGUAAUGGCUCACCAAGGCGACGAUCCGUAACUGGUCUGAGAGGAUGAUCAGUCACACUGGAACUGAGACACGGUCCAGACUCCUA
rnacentral:rRNA from 1 species